GAAAGAACUCUUUGCAAAUACAAAGCUUACCAUCUCUGCUAUGAAUCUGAACCUCAAUGGAUUGAACUCAUGUCCAUUCUCGCCUUGAAAUGCAGUCAAGAAAUCUAAUGAAUUGCUGCGAAGGUCAAAGUUUAUCGCUAUGUAAUUACAGCACAUUCCCUUAAUGGAGAAGUGGAAGCAAAAAACAAAAUAAAAAUGUGAAAUAUUUUGUGUUCUA